rnacentral:rRNA from 1 species
UGGGGAAUAUUGCACAAUGGGCGCAAGCCUGAUGCAGCCAUGCCGCGUGUGUGAAGAAGGCCUUCGGGUUGUAAAGCACUUUCAGCGAGGAGGAAGGUGGUGAGCUUAAUACGCUCAUCAAUUGACGUUACUCGCAGAAGAAGCACCGGCUAACUCCGUGCCAGCAGCCGCGGUAAUACGGAGGGUGCAAGCGUUAAUCGGAAUUACUGGGCGUAAAGCGCACGCAGGCGGUUUGUUAAGUCAGAUGUGAAAUCCCCGGGCUCAACCUGGGAACUGCAUUUGAAGCUGGCAAGCUAGAGUCUCGUAGAGGGGGGUAGAAUUCCAGGUGUAGCGGUGAAAUGCGUAGAGAUCUGGAGGAAUACCGGUGGCGAAGGCGGCCCCCUGGACGAAGACUGACGCUCAGGUGCGAAAAGCGUGGGGAGCAAAACAGGAUUAGAUACCCUGGUAGUCCACGCUGUAAAACGAUGUCGAUUUUGGAGGUUGUGCCCUUGAGGCGUGGCUUCCGGAGCUAACGCGUUAAAUCGACCGCCUGGGGAGUACGGCCGCAAGGUUAAAAACUCAAAUGAAUUGACGGGGUCAUAGCUGUUUCCU